UCUGCGUCCUCAGACCACCUUACCUCCUGCCUCCUCCUCCACCUGGGUCCCUUCUGCACAGACUUGGCUUCAAACAAUGCUCAGUUAUUCCUGGCGUUUGCUUUUUUGGCUGAGUGCACAUCCAAUGAUAUCUUUUUCUUCUUCUGUUUAAAGCACGAUCUUCUGUCUCCUCAUGUGUCCCUUUCUCCUCGGGGGGAAAAGUAAUGCUACGGAUAUUUGAAAGUGGUCUGGUUCCCUUGAGUCUGGUGUUUGGUCUGGUAAUUGGCCUUGCUGCUGGAAUUGGUGUGAGAGCGCUGGGUACAGAAGUGAGAGGGAGGGCUAACAGGACCUCCUCUCCCAGGCUCGGUGCCCCUCUUGGGAUCUUCACAGUGUACUGGGAGGCUGGAGCGCUGCAGCUGGGGGUGGGACCUGGACGAAGUCUGAGUUUCCUUCCUAAAUUUGAGCAGCGACUCUAGGUGACCUUAAACCACUCUUUAGUUUUGCUCUGCUUCUAUUUAGCAUCUGCUAAGUAGAGAUCUUUGCCACCAAUUAACAGGACUGAGGCUCAAUCCAUUGCAAAGUACUGUGAGAUUGUAAACAAACGUGGGAAGACCAGUUCCAGGGGAAAUCCAGAUCUGUGUGGUGGCAUCAUGGAUGGACCCAAGUCGAAGACCCAGUCCCAGAGGACUGUUAAGUCUGGAAAAGUAAUCACUGCCAGAUUGCUUCCUGCUCACAAGAUGGCUGCAUCACAGACAUCUCAUUGAGACAAUGUAGGAUCCAAUAGACGAAUGGCUGUUUCUUACUGUGAACCUCUUUUUUGAGAACAAGGAAACUUGUCUUGAAGUCCCCUGCUAGAAGGCACACAGUGAGAGAGAGAGAGGCAGAGACACUGGCAGAGGGAGAAGCAGGCUCCAUGCACCGGGAGCCCGACGUGGGAUUUGAUCCCGGGUCUCCAGGAUCGCGCCCUGGGCCAAAGGCAGGCGCUAAACCGCUGCGCCACCCAGGGAUCCCCAGGAUUAUCUUUUUCACAUAAAGCCGACCAAAGAGUUUCCAGACCAAAUUGUUUAAUUUGUGAGUUAUCAAUUCCUUAAAAAUCCAGAAGUUCAACAAGUAUUUCCUAAACACAUAUUACGUGUUGGGCUCCAUCCCACUUGGCUCUUUAUACAAGAAGGUAUGAGAGCUUAUCUCUGAAUGUGGAGUUUAUGCUUUAAGACAGCAUUUUUCAAUCUGCAGGUUAAGAUCUGUCAUGGGUAGUGAAAUCAAUCUUAUGUGUCAAAAACCAUCAUUAAAGGGGAAAAAAAGAAUACAAGAGUAGAACAAAAUAUAUCAGAGUGCAUCACUCUUGGUAAAACUGUAUAUAUAUAUGUAUAUAUCAUUUGUUUAUAUAACGUCCUGGGUCAAGAUAUAAAAUGUGUUUUUUACUCUGGGUGACAGUCAAAACAGUUUAAAGCUGGGACGCCUGGGUGCCUCAGCAGUUACAUGUCUGCCUUCAGUUCAGGGGGUGAUCCCAGUCUGGGAAUCGAGUUCCACAUCAGGCUCCCUGUGAGGAGCUGACUGCUCCCUCUGCCUAUGUCUCUGCCUCUCCCUGUGUCUCUCAUGAAUAAAUAAACGAAGUCUUUAAAAAAAACAACAAAACAGUUUAAAGCCAGUGCUCCAAGGGCCAGUAUGUUUUCUUUCCCAUUUCUCUUUGCAGUAUGUGUUUUUCUACUCCUCAUUCUGGGCUCCCUGACAGGAGAGAAAGACAAGGUUUAGAGGUUGUGCUUCCCAAUGUACACUUUGUCCCCAGCCAGUGCCCAAGCCUUCGGUUUGGUUAGCCUGGCACAGAUUUUUAGAGCCAGAGGCAGACGUUCCAUUUGAGACUCCAGGACUCAUUCCCUGAGUGGCCUUGGGCAAGUCACGGUACCUUCAGAACACCUGUUCUCUUUCUUGAGGGGAAGAGAACAACUGUACGCAUUCACAGGCAGUUCAGAGGAUCGAGUGAAAUAUGUACAACAGUGUGUUGUUUAGUAACCCCCCUCCAGCUCCUCAAAGGAGAAAAGCAGUCUGAGUCCAUGGGUUAAAAAAAUUCU